CAGUCGCCGCGGUAAUACGUAGGGGGCAAGCGUUAUCCGGAAUUACUGGGUGUAAAGGGAGCGUAGACGGUUAAACAAGUCUGAAGUGAAAUGCCGGGGCUCAACCCCGGAGCUGCUUUGGGAACUGUAGAACUGGAGUGUCGGAGGGGUAAGCGGAAUUCCCAGUGUAGCGGUGAAAUGCGUAGAUAUUGGGAGGAACACCGGCGGCGAAGGCGGCUUACUGGACGACAACUGACGUUGAGGCUCGAAGGCGUGGGUAGCAAACAGGAUUAGAUACCCGCGUAGUCCCUGUCUCUUAUAA
rnacentral:rRNA from 1 species